GUGAAAUUACACAUUUAGAAUUUAAAAGUAUGAAUAAUUAUUUUCUUAAGUAAAAAUAUCAUUGUAAUGCAUUUAAAAACUAUAUUAAUCUUUUGUUCAUUUUGUUUUUUUACCAGCAUAAAAAGCGAGGGACUUAAUGUACGUCAAAUAGAUUUCUUUGAAGCUUUGAUAUUGAGUCGUAGAUAUGGUGAAAAUAUUGAUAUAUUAAAACAUGCAUUAUAUUGUCAUGAAAUCAAAGAAACUUACAAUGAUUAUAAACUUGAAGUUCAGUUUAAAAAAAACUAAGCGAUAUGGCGAAGAUGGUAUCUUCGACUAAGCUUUCGCAAACGGCAAAGGCAAUGAGAUUUAAGAUAUAACGUGAUGGCUACCAAAAACUGUGAUAGUUUGUGAAAAAAAGUGGAGAACGCAGCUCGAACUCUAAAUCCGAUCGGAAUAAAAUCGCUUAUUUAAGCUCGACAUCGCCUAGAAAUUGAUGUUUUAAGUGAGGUAAAAAAUAAUGAUGGCUAAUGUUUCCUUAAAA